GAUGAACGCUGGCGGCGUGCCUAAUACAUGCAAGUCGAGCGAACAGACGAGGAGCUUGCUCCCCUGACGUUAGCGGCGGACGGGUGAGUAACACGUGGAUAACCUACCUAUAAGACUGGGAUAACUUCGGGAAACCGGAGCUAAUACCGGAUAAUAUAUUGAACCGCAUGGUUCAAUAGUGAAAGACGGUUUUGCUGUCACUUAUAGAUGGAUCCGCGCCGCAUUAGCUAGUUGGUAAGGUAACGGCUUACCAAGGCAACGAUGCGUAGCCGACCUGAGAGGGUGAUCAGCCACACUGGAACUGAGACACGGUCCAGACUCCUACGGGAGGCAGCAGUAGGGAAUAUUCCGCAAUGGGCGAAAGCCUGACGGAGCAACGCCGCGUGAGUGAUGAAGGUCUUCGGAUCGUAAAGCUCUGUUAUUAGGGAAGAACAAAUGUGUAAGUAACUAUGCACGUCUUGACGGUACCUAAUCAGAAAGCCACGGCUAACUACGUG
rnacentral:rRNA from 1 species